UAGCAGUAGCCCAGAUUUGGCUAGCCAUC
rnacentral:piRNA from 1 species